AAAACUUUCAACAACGGAUCUCUUGGUUCUCGCAUCGAUGAAGAACGCAGCGAAAUGCGAUAAGUAAUAUGAAUUGCAGAUUUUCGUGAAUCAUCGAAUCUUUGAACGCACAUUGCGCCCUUUGGUAUUCCAAAGGGCAUGCCUGUUUGAGCGUCAUUU
rnacentral:rRNA from 1 species